CACGGUCCAGACUCCUACGGGAGGCAGCAGUAGGGAAUAUUGCGCAAUGGGGGAAACCCUGACGCAGCAACGCCGCGUGGAGGAUGACACUUUUCGGAGCGUAAACUCCUUUUCUUAGGGAAGAAUUCUGACGGUACCUAAGGAAUAAGCACCGGCUAACUCCGUGCCAGCAGCCGCGGUAAUACGGAGGGUGCAAGCGUUACUCGGAAUCACUGGGCGUAAAGGGCGCGUAGGCGGAUUAUCAAGUCUCUUGUGAAAUCUAAUGGCUUAACCAUUAAACUGCUUGGGAAACUGAUAGUCUAGAGUGAGGGAGAGGCAGAUGGAAUUGGUGGUGUAGGGGUAAAAUCCGUAGAUAUCACCAAGAAUACCCAUUGCGAAGGCGAUCUGCUGGAACUCAACUGACGCUAAGGCGCGAAAGCGUGGGGAGCAAACAGGAUUAGAUACCCUGGUAGUCCACGCCCUAAACGAUGUACACUAGUUGUUGGGGUGCUAGUCAUCUCAGUAAUGCAGCUAACGCAUUAAGUGUACCGCCUGGGGAGUACGGUCGCAAGAUUAAAACUCAAAGGAAUAGACGGGGACCCGCACAAGCGGUGGAGCAUGUGGUUUAAUUCGAAGAUACGCGAAGAACCUUACCUGGGCUUGAUAUCCUAAGAACCUUUUAGAGAUAAGAGGGUGCUAGCUUGCUAGAACUUAGAGACAGGUGCUGCACGGCUGUCGUCAGCUCGUGUCGUGAGAUGUUGGGUUAAGUCCCGCAACGAGCGCAACCCACGUAUUUAGUUGCUAACGGUUCGACCGAGCACUCUAAAUAGACUGCCUUCGUAAGGAGGAGGAAGGUGUGGACGACGUCAAGUCAUCAUGGCCCUUAUGCCCAGGGCGACACACGUGCUACAAUGGCAUAUACAAUGAGACGCAAUACCGCGAGGUGGAGCAAAUCUAUAAAAUAUGUCCCAGUUCGGAUUGUUCUCUGCAACUCGAGAGCAUGAAGCCGGAAUCGCUAGUAAUCGUAGAUCAGCCAUGCUACGGUGAAUACGUUCCCGGGUCUUGUACUCACCGCCCGUCACACCAUGGGAGUUGAUUUCACUCGAAGCCGGAAUACUAAACUAGUUACCGUCCACAGUGGAAUCAGCGACUGGGGUGAAGUCGUAACAAGGUAACCGUAGGAGAACCUGCGGUUGGAUCACCUCCUUU
rnacentral:rRNA from 1 species